GGACAAGCCUGGUGGCCGGCACAGCGUGGCACAUGUAAAUAUUACUGAUGUCAUUGGCUUUGCUCACAAAGACCUUGACUCAUGUGAGCUGUGGGGUAGAGACUGCUUUGCUGGAGAUAGUGGGGUGUCAUCUUGCACCCCAUGCUAUGAUAAGGCUAUAACGAAGGAGUUGGAGACCCUGGCAAGUGGCUGUAGAAAUAUAGGCAGAUUUGAACGCUAUGCACAGAAUCGUGGUCUAGGACCUCACGGCACCAGUAUCGUCAUCCAUCUGUGUGACACUGGGCAAGUCCCUUAGUCACACUGGACGCCUGCUUCUUCACCUACAGUGAGAGGAUCUCUCACUGAACCUGGAGCACACUGAUUCAGCUAAACGACCCGGACAGCAAGCCUCGGGGUUCUUCUUGUUUCUGCCUCACCAGCACUGAGAUUGCAGCCCGUGUCUCGAAGCUGCUCUCCUAACACAUCUGACUGUGGCUGCUACGUCCUGGACUCUGAGGCCCAAGCUGAUCCAUCUUCCAGACUGGAACAACAGAGGGCUGGACCACCAAGCAAUGGGUCAAUCAGCAACCAUUCACCGCACCGGCUCUGUGGGGGACCGUGAACAUGUGGAAAGGGGCAGCUGGGACCAGAGUUCACGCCUGCCACCCAGCACAGUGUUGGGUACAACAGGGCAGCUGCUUGGUACACACUUGAAGGAGGACAGGCCAAAUCCAAAGUUCAAAUCCCUGCUUAGGCUCAUAACUUCUGAGAAACGCCCCGCCCCCUUCCCCUCCAAGACAGAUCCAGGAGCCCAGCUUUCAGGGGGGAGUGGCAGGAACCAGAGCAUGGGGGAAUCCAGAACACAGAAGCCUGUUGGCUUCACCGAGCGCCUUCCUGUUUGUGAUUCUGGUAUUUUUCUUUUGGUGGCAACGAGCAUUUAGUGAGCACCUGCUGUUGUGCCUGCCAGCGCCGGAAGACAUCUGAGGACAUUGUCCUCCCCCUGAAACCCUCCAUGGCUACCCCGGCUCCUUCCUAAUGGAACCUCCUCACCCCUACAGCUGUCUUAGGAUGCUAGUUCAAAUCUUGUAAGACUGAUGGAGAUUGUCCCCGCUGAACAGGGGAAAUGGAGCCUCCUCCAUCCCAGAGUUGGGAUAAGUCAGGUGUAGGCCCCAGGGCCGGGAUCCCAGCCCUGCUAGUUUCCAGCAAUGCGGGGAAGGGUGGAUGUCAGACCCACCCAGGGAGGGGAGCUGCCACACGUCUCUCCCCGUGAGUCUCACUGUCCAUCCCAAACGCUGACAGUCGGGCAUGGGUACUGCCCCUCAGUGCGCUGAGACCACCUAAUGGCCAGGGUGGCUAGGGUGUGGCCACCUCAGGCGAUGUCCCGAUCCGCUUAGGAUCCGCCCUGCCUGCUCCCUUGGUCUCCCCAGCCCCAGUUGCUGCCCAGCCAGACUCCCCUCUCCGUUUCCCCUUCCAAGGCCGCUAGGGGGCACCCUGAAGGAAGCGGGAGCCUGCUGUCUGUCCCCCUUGCCCACACUUCCUAAAUUCCUCCUCUGGCUGGUGGGGUGUGGGUUGGGAACUGGUAAGUGCCCUUACUGUAUGACUUCGGGAAGUGCCCCCCCAGUCUCCACUUACUGAGGAUGAUGAGGAGCCCCACGACGAAGGCCAGGCCCGCGAAGAUCAGGCCCCCUUUGCGGACAGUCUCGUAGUCUUGGAAGGGAGGAGACAUGCGCGGUGGUGUAAGCACAGCCCCUGCAGACCUCCCAAGUCCACCCACCAGCAGCCCCCCCCCCUUGGUGUUGAGAGCAGAUAGCCGGGCACAAGGGCUGGGAGCCAGCUGAUGGGGUGGGCAGGGGAGGACUUUUCUUACCAUAGUGGAAUGGAUCCUCUGCCCCCUUGCCGCUGCCACCUGAGGAGAGAGCCGGGGGUGGGAUGAGCAAGAUAUCAGGACCCCAGAGCCGUGGGAACGCCGGACUUCUCAAAGGAUCCCCAAGGGCCCAGAUGGGCUGGGGAAAGUUGGUGAAGAGUGGACUGGACAUCCACCCCAAGGUUACAUCACGUGGACAUCCUGGGAUCAGAUUCGGGGCAUCUGAAGUGGAGAUCUGGGUGGGCUGGACCAGGAAGGGGGGUGAUACGCUCACAAUCCCAGGAGGGUGUGGUCCUCCCCAGCUCCCUGCUGUAUAUCGCAAGGACAGGCCAAAGGGCCGGGUUCCCGGGAGGCUCCUUAGUGGCCUCUACUACAUAAUUCCACUUUCUCAAGGAGGAGCAGUAUCUAGGAAAUAAAGGAAGGAGUAAAACACAGCCUUGGUGCUCCGGGAACAGGAGGAGGGAACCACGGGCCGCUGGAGAUUUUGUAAAGACCCUGGAAAUCGAAGGCAGAAUCGGGGCUUGCUUGACUCAUCCUGGAUUCUGCUCUCCUGUGUCCUGGCCCUCAGG